rnacentral:rRNA from 1 species
CCUACGGGUGGCAGCAGUGAGGAAUAUUGGUCAAUGGACGAGAGUCUGAACCAGCCAAGUAGCGUGAAGGAUGACUGCCCUAUGGGUUGUAAACUUCUUUUAUAAAGGAAUAAAACGAGGCACGUGUGCCUUUUUGCAUGUACUUUAUGACUAAGGAUCGGCUAACUCCGUGCCAGCAGCCGCGGUAAUACGGAGGAUCCGAGCGUUAUCCGGAUUUAUUGGGUUUAAAGGGAGCGUAGAUGGGUUGUUAAGUCAGUUGUGAAAGUUUGCGGCUCAACCGUAAAAUUGCAAUUGAUACUGGCAGUCGUGAGUACAGUUGAGGUAGGCGGAAUUCGUGGUGUAGCGGUGAAAUGCUUAGAUAUCACGAAGAACCCCGAUUGCGAAGGCAGCUUACUAAACUGUGACUGACAUUGAUGCUCGAAAGUGUGGGUAUCAAACAGGAUUAGAUACCCGAGUAGUC